CACGUAGGGGGCAAGCGUUGUCCGGAUUUACUGGGCGUAAAGAGCGCGCAGGCGGUCGUUCAAGUCGCGUGUGAAAGCCCCCGGCUCAACUGGGGAGGGUCACGCGAUACUGAUCGACUCGAAGGCAGGAGAGGGUAGUGGAAUUCCUGGUGUAGCGGUGAAAUGCGCAGAUAUCAGGAGGAACACCGAUGGCGAAGGCAGGUCUCUGGGCCAUUACUGACACUGAGAAGCGAAAGCAUGGGGAGCGAACAGG
rnacentral:rRNA from 1 species